CGGGAAGAGAAGGAAUCCUGCAAAAACUGGUUGGUUGGGUCUAAGCUGCUUCUACGUGGGAUAUUCAGCCGUGGGAUUGUUGACGCCAUAUUAUCUGGCCCGUCUGAGUCUGAAGAGGAAGAAAAAAAUCCUCCUGGCUUCCAGUUUAGGUUAUUUUUUCAAUGGAAAAUAUGUAUUAAGCUGCUAUGUACAAGGCACUGAUCUGACAUAACAAGGAGGAAGACAACCAGUCUUGAGAGUGAACUGACUUCCCUGUUGCUGGACCAAGUUCCAUCGAAAACCCAUUAAGUCCCCGAAGUCACAGCAUGGAGCCUGAGUCAGUGGAGCUGCUGACAGACACUCCAAGCACCGUAUCUGCCCUAGAUUUUGAGGACACACCAAGCAAAUGUCUCAAUUAAGUCACUGAAUGAAUGUGCCAGAGAAUGUUCCACAAUUUACAUAUUCGGAAACUUACAGUCUCUUCUUGGAGGGAACAUCUCUUCUAGUUCUGGGAAGAGAGAGAGAAUGCUGGCGUCCUUGGAGGGGUUCUGGGAGGACAGGCACCAAAGGCUCCUUGCCUGCUAGAGAGGAGGGUCAAGACUGAAAACUGGAUAUUUUGGAGGUGGGUAUGGCUGAGACACAACAGUGGAUAUUGAAAGAACCUUGCCCUGGGCCUCGGUUUUUCCUCAUCCACAAAAUGAGGUCAGAUUAGAUGGUUUCUAAGGUUCCUUCUAGCUGUGAUAUUUUCUAUGUGGGGUACAGUAUACUGUGGUUGAGAGGGCUGGAUUUGGAGGACCUAGGUUCAAAUUCUGAUUCAAGAACAUAUAGGUCCCUGUAUGACCUUGGGCAAGAUAAGAUCUCUGAAUUUCAGUUUCCUUACCUCUAAAAUGAGAACAUUGAAAUCAAUGAUCUGCUAAGGGCCCCUUUAGCCCUAAAAUUGAUUUAAAGUCAGGAAACCAGACUUGAAUUUGAUAAGAUGUGUGAGCCUGAGUUAGUCAUUUCAUCUCUGUGAGCUUCUGUUUCCUCCUUUGUUAAAAGAAGCUAUGCUACCUCUCCAGUCUUCCUCAUAGAAAAUAUUGUGCCAAUCUAACAAGAUAAUAGAUUUGAAAGUGUGUGGCAAAAGGGAAAAAGUUCAUAAGGGACUGCUAUAACAAGAGAGUGGUUUUGGUCUCAGACAAUGCCCAAGACUGGUAUGUGUGGCUUAAAGAAUGAGUAGUAACUUCCAGGCCUUCUACCUACCAAUGCCUACCAGGCUUCUAAGAUCACUAGACCAGGGCAGGGAGGGCUUUGCCAGAUCUUGUUGCACUACACCUUCUCCACUGUCUCCCCUCUGCAUUUUUAGAUCAUAAACUGAUUUUUGAGGGGAGAACAGCAAAGGAGUAACUAUGUACCACAUUGGCCUGGUUGGGCCAUCAUGUAUUACUUGCCACAACUGCCCAGAAAUAUCAAACUAGGACUUAGUUACCUUUGCCAGACCUCCCUGGGUAGGCUUAAGCCUUGUAGGAAAUAGAGUCUAAGGACAUUAGGUUUCCUGACCUCAAGAACAGAGUGACUCGAUUAAAUGGAAAAGUUUAGCACUGACCAUAAUGAGCUAGUCCCAAAUCAUACCUCCAGGGGGCCGUCUGGCACAUCCCAGCCCCUGAGCUCCAACUUCCUUUCCAGCCUAAUUAUUAUAAUUGUAAUUUAAAUAGGAAUAAAACCCUAGCUCUCAAGGGGCCAGAGGAGGGAGAGCGUGGAUCUGUAGGAAAGAGGACACGGCACUCUGAGAACGAUAAUUAGAGACGAUUUAAUUUCCCUCUGUCCAGAAGGAGAUUGUCCUAGUAGCAUCUCCAUUCUUAAAAAGCUGGAGAACGAAGCUGCAUUUCUCUCUAGGAAAAGGCCUCUCUGGUGGGGGACUAGGUAAAGGAAAGAGGUGACUCGAACCUUAAAUGUACUCUUCAAAUGGUCAGAGCUCUCUGGUUCAAUUGGUAAUGAAGAUAUUGACAUUUAUAAAAUUAUAGGGGCCCCGUAUGUAUGUGAGAGUACACACGUGUGUAUUUUUUGGGGGAUGGAGAGAAACGGAGAUGAAGAGAACCCAGGUGAUAAUAUCUGUGUAUUAAUAUAUAGGCUAUCUAUAUAUAUGCCAUCUAUAUUUAUAUCUAUAUUUAUCCUAUCUAUAUUUAGGAUGAUGGGAUAAAAGAUUUAGAAACACAGUGUCCCAUAAAUCACAGCUUUAAUAACUUAAAUAUUUUGAGUUUAAUUAGUUAUGAGAGUUUAAAACUGAAUGAUGACUUUUGGGUCACCAUAUAUAGUUAUUCUCUAGCUUGUUAUCUUGUUCUAGCCUUGAUUGACCAUGGAAUGAUAAAGAGAGGAGUAGCUUGAGAGUCAGACGUAAUUUACAGUGGCAUAAUGGAAACAGCCUUAGACUGGGAGUCUAAGGAACCUGUGUUCUAGUCUUAACUUAUUUCCCAUGUGACUUGGAGCAAAUCAUUUAACCUCUCUUGUCCUCAAUUUUCUUAUUUGUAAAGUGAGGGAUUUGUAUUAGAUCCCCUUCAACAGUAAAUAUGAUGAUCUAUCCAUCAAAUUUCUAGCUUAAUUUAUGAGUUGUUAGCUUGGGUAAGUCAUUUCCCUUUUUGGGACCUUGGUUUCCAAACCUUUAAAAUAGGAGAAAUAAUACAUAUACACUUUUCACAUUAUGGGGCUGUUGAGAGGAACAAAUGAUAUCUGUUGCUGUUAUUCAGUGGUUCAGUCAUGUCUGACUCUUUGAGACACCAUGAACUGUAGCUGUGCAUGGGUUUUUUUUCUUGGCAAGAAUAUUCUGGAGUAGUUUGCCAUUUCCUUCUCUGGUGGAUUCAGUGGAUCCUUUUUGUCAGGAAAUCGGAGGUUAAGUGACUUGCCUAGAGUCACACAGCUAGGAAUUGUCUGAGGCUGGAUUUGAAGUGAAGUCUUCCUGACUCAGGUUUAGCACUCUAUCCACUGAGCCAUCCAGCUGCCUCUGACACGCAUAUCCAUGUAAUAAUGUUUGUAAAUUCCUGGAUACCUAUAAACUACUGCUGGUGGUGGUCAUAGAGACCUUCUUCUAGUGAAGCCCUGCUAGCCCAGGAAUGUCUUAUUCACUCUCUCAUUUGGGAGUUCCAAUGGCACCCCUUUUCCUCUAGGAUUCAAUUAUAACACUGCCUGAGAAACAGCGCACUUUUCUGCAGACUUGUUACAGAUCUGGCCCAGGAUCUGGGUCCUUUUGCGGAAGUGCUGCCCUUGACAGCCCAGGGAGAGAAUUAGCAGAGACUGGCUGUCUUUCCAUGGGCCAGAACUAAACAGAUUCCUGAGGACAAACUGACUAGCAGCCCCUCUCCCCAUCUUUGCAGUCCUAGCCUCCUCUCAGUCUCCACCAUUCUCUCACCACCUCCCACCUUGCCUGCAAAUGUCUUCCCUUAGGCUGUCCGCUUCUUAAGAUUAGGGACUGUUUUAUUUUAUCUUAAGAAAUGUUCUUUUUAUCUCUAUUACAUAGCAUGUGCCAUGUAAGUGCUUAAUAAAUUGUAAGUGCCACCUUGUAAAGACUUAAUAAAUGCUGCUUUGACUAACUGACUGGUUAUAUGUCAUGGAUAUAGUUAUUUGUUUGCUAUCUUCCCCCAUGAGAACGUGGGGACUAUUUCACUUUUACCUCUGCAUCCUCAGAGCUUAGCCUAGAGCCAGCACACAGUAAGGACUUAAUACAAGUUUCUUCAUUGACUUCCUCAUUUAAAUAUGUAAUUUAUGGGUGUUUAAAGGAAGCAAAUUCUCAUUAUCUGGCUCUGAGAUUUUCUCAGUUUGAAAAUUAGGCAUUAGGACUGUGAAGGAUAAUAAUAUCUCUGAGAAAAAACAGAGUUGGGUGGGAUAUAUCAUCCUGGAAAAGUAUGCUUGAUUUGGAGUCAGAGGGCCUGGGUUCAAAUGUUGAGUUUGCUACUUGCUCUCUGUUGUGAUCUUGGCCAAGUUGUAACUAUGUUGAUUGAUAUCACUUCCUGUUGAAUUCUGGGUGCUCAGGGACCAUGCAGAGACCCCAUGCACUGACACAUACCUAGUAAUGAAGACGUAAGCACCAACCAUGUGCUAACAUAUAGACACACACGUGGUCCUGCUAUAUAUCUUAGUGCUGCAAAGUCUUCAGACAGGAACAUCCAUGCAUACAAGUAAACAAAGCCUUGCACACAAGGGCAUUCACUGUCCCUGUAAACACACAUAUCCAUUGUGCGCACACAUUCUGAGGAUUCCUAGGCUAGAGAGAUUUGAGAUCAGAUGGCCUGGCCCCCCCCCCCCCUGUUUACAGGGGUUCAGUGCCAUCAGGGUGAUCUGCCUUUAUUUUAGAAGUUGAAGGUGAUAUUAGUACAUAGAAGCAGUUAAGAGGUUGAUUUUUACUAGCCGUUCCAAGCCCCAAACCCAAGUACUCUGGCUCUAAAUCUAGGAUGACAGGUUCUCUGGAGGAGGGGACCUUAGAGGCGACCUAGUCCAACUUCAUUUUACAGAGAAGGAAAAUGAGGCUCAGGAGGGUUAAGUCAUGUGCUUGAGGUCAACAGCAUGUGCUUUGUAGAAAUUUGAACCCAGGUCCUUUGCCUCCAGAUCUGGGACUCUUUCCACUGUAACCAUUAGUGACUCAAUCCACACAAACACAAAACCAGUAGGCACCCAGAAAUCCCUCCUGUCUCCCUGUCUCGCCGUCUUGUCUCUGUCGUCUGUCAGUCUGUCUUCUGUUUGUCUCUCUACCUGUGGCACAGCCAGACGGGACU